GCGGAAGGGGCUCUCGCCGAAGCGCUCCUCCAGUUGCCGGCGAAGCUUGGGUGGGCGGGUGAGGUGGGCGGGGUCAAGGCCGGCCGCGGGACUGGGUCAAGGCAGCCGGCCCCGCCCCCACCCUCCCGACCUUCGCCCUUCUCCGAGCGUCCCAUACCUCGCUGAGCCCCUCCCUUCCUGAGCGUCUUCUUUGCCUCCCGUCUCCCGGGUUUCCAUCCCGUCACUGAGUUCCUCUUCCCUUCUAGGAGGACCUUCCCUCUCCCUGACCCCUCUUCCGCCUUUGACACUCCCGUUUCCAGACCUGCUAAAUUGACCCCAGGCGCCCAGCGGGAUCACUCCUCCCUCUUUGCACUUCUGGGUAACUCCUCCCGCUUUGCACCUCUGUGCUCACAACCCCAUUCCCACAGGUUUCUUCCUUGCCCGACUCUUUCCCAACGCCGUCCUGCAGAUAAGCCUCUGGGUACCGCCCUCAACCUGCUGAGAGCCCUCCCCCUCUCAUCCUUUGUUCCCAGGGAAGCUUAGUUCCUGACAUUUCUACGUGGCAUCUGCCCAAGAGGUAUAAGAGGGAAACUGCUGUGGUCUCAUCAAGGACACAGGGGUGGAGUAGGACAUAGUUCUCCCCGAUGGGGUCAAACACUCAAAUCCUUCAGGUUCCAGCCAGGUAGGGCAGGCAGUGGGAAGUGCUGGAAGACCUAGUCAAAUGGGAGGGCCCGCACUGAUCUAAAGGCAUUCAAAUUCUACAUUGAAAAAGAAAACACCUGGCUGUCUGACAAAAUACACCUAGGAGCUGGAUUAGCUCAAAGGCCAUGAGUUUGAGACCCUAGAAAAAUCCGGGUCUGAGGCACAGGCUAAAUUUGUUCCAAUCAGUGAUCAGUUUGAGUGGGAAGAAGGAUCUCCCACCCAUGGCCCAACCCAGCCCUUGACCCCAUCCAUCCCUACCUUCUGGGAACUGCCCCAGCCAAACUCUUCAAGCUGCUGCCUAAAGCCUGGGUUGGGGUUGGCGAUGGGCCGGGUGGCCUUGAUGGCUUCAAGCACGUCCCGCCAGCCUAGCCCCGUCACAGUCAUCACAUACGCCGUCACAAUCGUGGUGCUGCGAGAGAUGCCUGCAAAGCUGGGAUCCCCGACAACCCCUCAGGCUUCAAGUAAGAUCCAGUGUCCUCCAUGCCCCCCACGCACCCCACCCUGCUUCAGCUCUCCCACCCUUGCCUCCUGAGCUCCAACCAUAAGGGACCUGUCAGGACUUGCCAUCCCACCUCCAGGCCUUUGCCAUGCUGUUCCCUCUGCCUAGAGCACCCCCUGGGUUCUCCCACAUCAAAGGCCUGAGUGAAACACCAUUCAUUCAGUCAACAAAUAUGUCCUGAGCAUCUGUUCUUUUUCAGGCACUGGGAAUGUAGCGGGUAUAAAACAGACACGGCCUUUGCUGUCCUGGAGCUUACAGUAUGGCUGGGGGGACAGACAUUGAUCAGAGAAUCAAUUCCAGGUGGUGAUAAUAGCUUUGAGGAUGAGUCUGGGGGCUAGGAGAUCCACAUAGGAAGAGGUAUUAAUCUAUAGGUGGAGUGGGGUUAGAGAAGGGGUUCCCAAGGAAUAGACAUCAAUGAAGUUUGAAAGAUGGAUAAGGGUUACUCAGGAACCUUGUGGGCAGUGUGUACAAAGACCAUGAGGCAUAAGCCUUGUAGAUUUGGAAGAUGGGGAGGAGGUUAGUACAGCUGGAAAGGGGAAGGAGGGAGAGGGUGGGAGAUGAGACUUGGGAAACCAGCCUCGUUGCUGGGCCUCCAGCAGAGCCAGCCUGAGCCUGGAUAGGAUGGGCGCUCAGCGAGAAGUUAAGGAAUGAAUGACAUCAACUGAGUGAGGGGCACCUGGGAAGACCCAGAAUUCUUGUCUCCCAGCUUGGGGUUCCUCACUACCCUGCACCAUCACCUCCAAGGCCUGGAGGGGAGGAGAGAGGCCCAGAACUACUGGAGGGUGAACUACUUGCAUGACCUCACUAUUCCUCCCAACAGUCCCGUCAGGUCAGCUUUCUUUCUUUUCCCCAUUUUACAGAUGAGGACAUUGAGUCUCCGAAAGAAACAGCUACUUGGCUAUGGCCACACAGCUCAUAAGGAAUAGAGCCCCGGGUUGGCCGCUCUCCAAUGAAUGGUGGGCCCUCAGGCACUGUGACAGGCUGGAGAAGAUCCUUCACAGGUUCAACCUUCCCAUAGGAUGAGUAUGUGUUCAACAGAGGGCACAGCCACUUCCUUCCUCCCCCACCUUACCCCCCAACCUUGACUCACCAGUGCACAAGGCAGUUCCCCCCAUUAAGGCGGCAGCAGUGGAUGAAGUUGAUACAUUCUUUGAAGUGCUUUUUGCUAGAGGAGAAAGCAAUAGGGUAGGGAGCACUGUGGAGCAGAUCUCUCAGGAGUUGUUCCACCCCCACCCCAAUUACAGGAUAGCAAGGGACACAGAGCACUGGGUUCCCCAGGUCAGCCAGCACAUGCAGUGAAUAGGGGCCAGUACUUAGCAUGAGCUGGAGGUGUGUGUGUGUGAAGCAAGAAUGGUGGCAUUUCAGGCAGUGAGAGAGGCCAGUCAGGGCCAAUCUCACCAUCUAGGCAGGAGCACUCCUCCUGUGGACCCUGUUAUCAUGAUGGGUUUAUUGUGGCCUUUCAAAGAAAUGGGUGGGAGGAAAUACAAGGGUCCCACUCCUCUGGGGUCUGCAAUCAGAGCACCUGGGCACAAUGACGGGCAGCAGCGGGCUGGGAGCAAGAUUCCCAAGGGGCAGGACUGUCUGCCUGGCUCCAUCCCAAGCGGGGACGCAUGACUACUGAUGUUACAAACAAAAAUCCCAUUUUCUGAGCUUGGUUAUACUUCAGGCCCUAUGCUAGAUCCUUGACCUCUGUCAUCUGAUCUUUGAAAGCCUCCUUGACUCUGAUCAUGCACUCUGGUGAGGCUCAGAGAGGGGAAGUGAUUUGUUCAAGGUCACACAGCAAGUAAAUGGCAAAGCCUGGCUGGAACCCAGAUGUCUUAACCCCAAGGCCAGGAACAGACUGAACGUGACCCUUUCAAAUCAGCCGGUGUAGCUGGUCCCAAGGAGGCGGCUGUCUGUCCAUCUGUGGGUCCAUCCAGGGGAACUUACAUGGGUACCUCAGGGGUAUCAGCCACCGGGAUGCGAAGGUAGGUGAUAUCCUACAAGUACAAAAUACACUCAGGCAGGGGACCUUGCUUGCAACCCUCCCUGACGCUGGUCUGAGCUGCCCAGGCAGGGCAUGACCCCAGCCCAGUUCCUGCCCCUCUCUGGCCCACCGUGGUCCUCUCUGUCCAAAGAAAGUAGUCAUCUCUGAGGCCUCCCAGCUGUGACCACUUGUGAUUCCUGAACCUUCUAAGCAGAUGGUGUCUCCUAACCCCAUCAGCGACUUGGGCAUGAGGUCUUCUAUCCCUCCCAACAGGGACCCAGGAACCUUUAUCAAAUCACCAGGAAAGGGCUACUUAAAGGGACUCCAUUCCAAAUGCAAAUUACAAAAUUACUUCGUAAAAAAGGUAAAGCAGAUUUGAUUAUCUUGAAGAGAAACAAAAAUCAUGAAAACAAGUAUACAUUUCAUGAAUCCUGGUUAUAAAAUGAUGUGCUAAUUGUGAGAAUAAGGAAUAAAUUGUCAGGUUUUUUUUCCA